GAAAGUCGGAUUAAUACCCUAUGUUAUUCGUUAGAGGUACAUACUGAAAUGAAUCAAAGAUUUAUCGCUAAGGGAUGGGGAUGCGUCUGAUUAGGUAGUAGGCGGGUAACGGCCCACCUAGCCGACGAUCAGUAGGGGUUCUGAGAGGAAGGUCCCCCACAUUGGAACUGAGACACGGUCCAAACUCCUACGGGAGGCAGCAGUGAGGAAUAUUGGUCAAUGGGCGAGAGCCUGAACCAGCCAAGUAGCGUGCAGGAUGACGGCCCUAUGGGUUGUAAACUGCUUUUAUCAGGGGAUAAAGUGAGGGACGUGUGCCUUUUUGUAUGUACCUGAUGAAUAAGGACCGGCUAAUUCCGUGCC
rnacentral:rRNA from 1 species